rnacentral:rRNA from 1 species
AACGAACGCUGGCGGCAGGCUUAACACAUGCAAGUCGAACGAGAUCUUCGGAUCUAGUGGCAGACGGGUGAGGAACACGUGGGAACAUCCCUUUCAGUUCUGCAUAACGUUGGGAAACUAACGCUAAUACCGGAUACGUCCUUCGGGAGAAAGAUUUAUCGCUGAAAGAUUGGCCCGCGUCUGAUUAGCUCGUUGGUUAGGUAAUGGCUCACCAAGGCUACGAUCAGUAGCUGAUCUGAGAGGAUGAUCAGCCACAUUGGGACUGAGACACGGCCCAAACUCCUACGGGAGGCAGCAGUGGGGAAUAUUGGACAAUGGGCGCAAGCCUGAUCCAGCCAUGCCGCGUGAGUGAUGACGGCCUUCGGGUUGUAAAGCUCUUUUGUCCGGGAAGAUAAUGACUGUACCGGAAGAAUAAGCCCCGGCAAACUUCGUGCCAGCCGCCGCAGUAA